CCGCGUGAGGGAAGACUGCUUAUGGGUUGUAAACCUCUUUUUUCAGGGAGGAAUAAAAUGACGUGUACCUGAAGAAUAAGCAUCGGCUAACUCCGUGCCAGCAGCCGCGGUAAGACGGAGGAUGCAAGUGUUAUCCGGAAUCACUGGGCGUAAAGCGUCUGUAGGUGGUUUAAUAAGUCAACUGUUAAAUCUUGAGGCUCAACUUCAAAAUCGCAGUCGAAACUAUUAGACUAGAGUAUAGUAGGGGUAAAGGGAAUUUCCAGUGGAGCGGUGAAAUGCGUAGAUAUUGGAAAGAACACCGAUGGCGAAAGCACUUUACUGGGCUAUUACUAACACUCAGAGACGAAAGCUAGGGUAGCAAAUGGGAUUAGAUACCCCAGUAGUCCUAGCCGUAAAC
rnacentral:rRNA from 1 species